UAAAGUUUCAAACUACAUAGGAUACGGCAACGCCCUCAUACGCUGCGCGCUAUACAGCAAGCAGAUAGACAACUGCUAUGCCUGCGCACAACUGUGACAUCGAGCGAAUGUCUGCCCAUCACCAGAUGCGCCCAUCUGCAGGGGCUGUGGAACACUAAAUCCCACGGAAGCACAUAACUGCACCCCACAAUGCUCCCUAUGCGGAGAGGAACAUAUCACGGCUGGCAAGGAAUGCAGGCAACGCUUCCAACUUCCCUACGUCGUUAGAAAACGUAGAAUCGAGAAGAGAGCAAUGCUGACUUCGAAUCAAGGGAUUCAACAGAGCACAUUCAGCUGAACGAGCAAUAUUUCCCUGAGCUCACCCAAUCUCAACCAAGCUGCGGCAGCGUAGCCCGUAGAAGAUCGGGAUCAAGAAACAAAUCCAAGGACCUUAGAGGAACAUCACGCAGCCAAUCCAGGGGACUCCGGAGCUGAUCCCGAGGACCCAACAAGGACAAGUACGAGACCAGGACCCGGUUCAACGUCCGCGGGCAGACCGACGGAGCACACGGCCACGUGGCGGCCAGCCAGGACGGCGGAGCCGGAGCCACCUGGGCCCAGCGACUUCAAUCACAACGACCGACAGAGGGCCUCAGAAAAGCUGAAGAGAACUCGGACAUUGCAAGUGCAAGUAACCGUGGCAGAGGAAAAAGGAAAAAGAAAAGAAGACAUUACAGUGAUGACGAUGAGAUGCCACUCCUUCAGCCACCACAGCCUAUGCAGAAAAGAGCAACACAUGGUGCUGCACAAAGAUCUGCAAGGAUGGAGCCUUCAAGGGUUUUGAGUGUGUCACAGCACUCGGCAUAUGAUGAAAGAACGCACGGUACUGCAAGGCGUUCCUCAAAGGAGCCACUGCACUUGUGGAACGUUCCACAGUGCUCUACAUAUGAUGACGAAGUUCAGAGCGACUUGCCAGGUUUCCGGCCUUCUGUAAGUCGGACGACACCAAGCUCAGGGUAUUACGAAUGUAGGAACCAGCCACAAGAGCAGGAACAUUUAGGGUGGUUCAGUGCAUAAUGUUCUAGUAUCAUGGCAUGCCCAUUUAUUCCCAUUGCUGUAUCAACACUUGUUUUUACAAAUAGGGUUGGAGAGACGCCAACGAAACAGCACCCAUGCCUGCUCGCCUCUUAUGGCUGCCUCUCUGCCAAGAAAGGAGUUCGCACAAUCAGGUCGUUGAGCGCUCACAGAAGAAUCAUAUGGGCGAGCAGAGCUUCAUUUCCCACUGCUCAUGUAUUGUCUACACCUACCUCAAGGCCCACAAGCAGACCAGUUUCAACCAUGCGUGGGCCACCUGAUGCAGCAAUUUUGUGGUCUAGGCGGCAGCAGCACUGGACCUGCAACACGGCGCAUUUUAGGAAUCUUACUAAGCCAAGUGGCCGUGCAGUAUAGUUGGCUUGGCAUGAAGGGGAAAAAAGUUUUUCUGCAUUGCAAGAGGCUGACACAAUCACAAGGGCUGAAAUACAAAACUUUUCUACAUCAAAACGAUGUGAUGUAGAGAACAUAAUAAGGGGGUGGCUGCGCCACUCUGGAGAAAAACUGCGCAAACAGCAGGCCAGGGCUGGCACACCUGAAGGUGAGUUUUGUAUUUAGAUUAUCAUGAAAAAUACUUGAAAAAAUAUUGUCUAGCGUGAGUACUUAACAUUUGAAGGUUAAUUACUGUUGUCGUGCUUAUGGGCUUGACCUCCAUAUGACAAUUCAGAUGCUGUAUCCAACAUAGCCACAAGGGCCUCGUGUUUAAGAAGUUGCACCUUGCUGUUUUCAGAACUGUCAUU